UGGGGAAUAUUGCACAAUGGGCGAAAGCCUGAUGCAGCAACGCCGCGUGCGGGAUGACGGCCUUCGGGUUGUAAACCGCUUUCACCGCCGACGAAUGGAGACGGUAGGCGGAGAAGAAGCACCGGCUAACUACGUGCCAGCAGCCGCGGUGAUACGUAGGGUGCGAGCGUUGUCCGGAUUUAUUGGGCGUAAAGAGCUCGUAGGCGGUUUGUUGCGUCGGGAGUGAAAACCCAUGGCUUAACUGUGGGCUUGCUUCCGAUACGGGCAGACUUGAGGGAGGUAGGGGAGAACGGAAUUCCUGGUGGAGCGGUGGAAUGCGCAGAUAUCAGGAGGAACACCGGUGGCGAAGGCGGUUCUCUGGACCUUUCCUGACGCUGAGGAGCGAAAGCGUGGGGAGCAAACAGG
rnacentral:rRNA from 2 species